rnacentral:snRNA from 1 species
AGAAGGAGAGAGUUAGCUUCCUUU